rnacentral:lncRNA from 1 species
UCGCUCAGGAGCGAAACUUUUUUUCUUUAAUCUCAUCAGUUUGUGUUUGGUGUCGAUAUUUAGUCGAUGGAUAAUCACAUCAGGUGGGAUGCCUGAUAUAUCUGAAGUAGAUCAGACGAAGAUAUUUACAUUCUUCCUUAGAAAGUUGAUCAGCUUUUCUCUCAGUUUGUUGCUUAAGAAAGAUCCAACCUGAAUAGUUCUG